rnacentral:rRNA from 1 species
GACGAACCGUGCGAACGUUGUUCGGAAUCACUGGGCUUAAAGGGCGCGUAGGCGGGCCGCCGCGUCCGGGGUGAAAUCCCCCCGCUCAACGGGGGAACGGCCUCGGAGUACGGGCGGCCUGGAGGCGGGUAGGGGCACGCGGAACUGUGGGUGGAGCGGUGAAAUGCGUUGAGAUCCACAGGAACUCCGGUGGCGAAGGCGGCGUGCUGGACCCGUCCUGACGCUGAGGCGCGAAAGCCAGGGGAGCGAACGGG